AACCUGUCCAUCUGGCGAACCUCCCUCACGCCCCUCUCUCUGCUUUUCCUGGCUCCAUUCACACCUUCCUUCUCCUGUCCUCCCGCAGGGUCUUACACAAAACCCCACUGUAGCAAUGAUUGCCGUGGGUUUUGAUUGUGUGCUAGCUCCUUGAUGCUAGACACUGUAUGUAGCCUUUUGUCACCAGUGCCGAUCACAGAGCCUGGCCAAGAGGGACCCUCCGUCGUGCGGGAAGAAGACAGAAUGUUGCUCAUGGGCUUUUCCACUCAUGGGGGACCUUAUGACGUCAUCGUGGGCCCAGAACCUCCGGCCACUGAAGACUUCCUCAUUGCUGUUGGGUUCCAUACUGAAGCUUGGAUGGGUUAUUGAUGUGCUCCACAUCCCACGGGGCAAGAAACUGGCAGAGCCUGGAUAUGAACACGGAGCCUCCCAGUGAUUUGCUGCUCGACCGCUUUGCCCAUUUAUAAGAGGAAAAGCUAUGAGGCCCCUGUCCUCAACAUCAUUUUGUCUCUAAAAUACUCUUCGAGCAAAGAGAAAAACUGCUGUUAAGAAAAUACCACUAAACACACAGGACCCACCAAAACACAGACCAAAGAAGUCUAGGAAAGUCAUGGAUUGAGGAAAUAUGGAUUUAGUUACAGAACAUACAUAUUCUAUACUUCCACCUGUCCGUAAAAAGUACAUCAAAGGACUUUAUUUAUUUUUUAUAACAUCAAAGGACUUUAAAAAACUCUAGCAAGAAGACACAGCAAAUGGAUCUUUUUAGAUAACCUUACAUACCUGCCUAGGAUUCGCUCGAUUUCAAUUUAGUCACUGAGUGAUAAGAAUUUCCUAAAAAACUGCGGGCGCAAAGACCAGUAUCUCCUGGAAAGAUUUUUUUUUUUUUUUUUUAAGAUCAUUAGAUUGAGGAAGUCCAAUAAAGUAGCCCUUGUAAUGAUUUCUGAGGACGCUAUGUAGUCCAAGUCUACUGCCCACCAGCUUUGUGACCUCAGGCAAAACGCUUGACCACUCUGGGCCUCUUCAUCUUUGUCUGUAAAAUGAGAGAGCACUUAUGGUGACAAGGUACAGUGAAAGACAGGGUGUUUGGCUCAGAAUCCCUAGGAAGUGUUUUCCUUAGUGGGGCCUGGUUUGCUGGUUCCUGCAAAGAUGCCUCCUUUGGGGCACAGAGGACAGGCAGUGCAGGAUCUGAAAUGCUACCCUACCCACCACCAGUGAAAUGCCUCUCUCAGUGCUGGAAACACAGAGCAUCCAGGUGGCGUGAGCCAGAACAUACUCGAGGCGAUGGGUGCCAGGUUUAGGCUCCAACUCUGGCAGGCCCUCUCAGUGCUCAGCCAAAGUGUUGGGGGUGGGGAGAUUCUCUUCCCAUUUGUGACUUUUCUAAAUCCUCCCCUCUCCUAUAUCUGUUUCUGAAGAUAAUCACAUUCCAGUUGAGGUAGAGCAGGGCAGGGGUGGGGGGGAACGGGUAGGGGCGGUGGUGAGCCAAGCAACGUCUUGGAACCUUUGUCCCGAAUUGUGUGGCUUUUGCCGGACAUUCAUUUUCAAGAUGGGCUUUUGUUCUUUGGGGAGAAGAAAAAUCUCUCUUCCCUUUUGCAUGUGGCUACAGCAAAAGCUGCAAGUCACAAAGCUGCCGAUUUCAACACAUGUGCAUGGGCACACGUGCGCACACACACGCACACACACACACAUACACACACACACAAGGAGAUCCUCGUCCUGGCUCCCUCUGAAACAAUUCAUCUUCAGCCUUCACUGUUAAUUAUGACUCUGUGCACCAAUAACCAAAUGACACUGAGCCUGGAGUGGCUGUCCCUGUCCCUCCACAUGACAUUUAUGCAGGUUGAUGAAAUCAUUCUGGGCAAGGUUAAGACAAGUCUCUCCAGUGCAAAGGUUCUGUUUAAAACAAACACUGCUUGCUCUUGGGACCUGGCAGGGAAAUUAAAAAGAAACCCAAGAUGCUCUAGGCUUCUGUCCUGGUUUCCAGGCAACCAGAUGCUGGGUGCAGGAAGGGAGAGGGGCUUUCUUCUGGUGCCAGACAGUAUUGAUAGACAGUGGGCUAACUUUCUGAGCCAAGGAGAUGGGGAGGGACAGAGGAAGCCUGCAUAAGCCUCAUUACCCUAAUCAACCAUAGAGUGGGCUUGUUGGCAGAGAGCAUUGAAAAAUGAGCCCAUCUGCACAGGCUGAGCUGGGGAGAGAUGCUUUUCUAUACUUUAAAAGACUGGGUGGCUAUAAGCAUGAUUCACAGGUAACCAUCGUCUUGGCAGCUCUAGAUUGGUGUGCGGUUCAGGUAGGCAAAGACAGCUGGGCGAGAGGGUCUCGGGGAGACCCGGCAACCACUCACCUGGCAGAAGCAGGAGAAGACAGAACAGUGCUGGCCCUUUCUCUCUACGCUACAAUUCCACCAGGAUCCCGAGAGACCGCAUCUACCGAUCAGAGUGUUAGACAGGAUGCAAGGAAGAGGAAGAUGGACAAGCACCAAGCCGCCACAUCCCCUUCACUAUUCCUUUGUGCCCAAGUCCCAUGCCCCCACGGGAUCACGUGAUGUAGUAGAACCAUCGGGGGCUCCUCGACAGACCCAGGUUCAAAUCUGCCCUCUGCCCCUUCCCAGCAAGCUUCCUUUCUCUUCUGUCCACAGCGUGGUUGUGAAUCAGCAUUCAGCACAAAGUAUUCCUACUCCAAAAAAUGAGAGGUUUACAUCUCAGGAGUUUCUAUGGUGACAGUAAAGUCUGUCCUAGCCCAAAUGGCAAGCAUCCCUCUGGUUUGAACAGUGCAGAGAUCUGGCAUUUUCCUUGUCCCUGAACUUGCCGUUCCCCAAGUGCUACAUGGCACACAGGACCUGGGAUCCUUCUGUGUUACAAGAAGAGAGGGCAUGACUACAGAGUGUAAUUACAUAAAACUGCGUGGCCUAGGACUCGACGCCAGCAGGGACGUUCCCGUUCGGUGAAGGAGGAAAGGAAAUUGCAGGGAGGGUACGAGGUCUGCUGAAGGCCACGGGGCUGGAUCAUAAUGGAGUUGGGUCUCCGUUCCAGCACCUGCGGGAGGGCGGAAUGGGCUAACCUAGACGGAAGCAAGAGGCGCCCCAGCUCUGCUCGCGGUCACAGUGCCUCUGUUCCCCCCACCGCCGCCAGGACUCCCACCCACCGGUGUGGUUCCUGGGACCCCCCGAAGGGGGAGCCGGGUUGCUCUGCCUGCCUGAGCCGCGCACCGUCUGUAGGGCCCUGUUGCCCCCACUGGAGUUCCGGCAUCUCAUUCUUGAGCACAGUCAUGGUUUUGUUUUCCCGGGUGCCUGUCUCUCCUGAAUCUACAAAAUCAAAACAAAUCUACAAAACAACAAGCAAACAGAA